UACGUAGGGUCCGAGCGUUGUCCGGAAUUAUUGGGCGUAAAGGGCUCGUAGGCGGUCUGUUGCGUCGGGAGUGAAAACUUACAGCUUAACUGUGAGCGUGCUUCCGAUACGGGCAGACUUGAGGUAUUCAGGGGAGAACGGAAUUCCUGGUGUAGCGGUGAAAUGCGCAGAUAUCAGGAGGAACACCGGUGGCGAAGGCGGGUCUCUGGGCAGUAACUGACGCUGAGGAGCGAAAGCGUGGGGAGCGAACAGG
rnacentral:rRNA from 1 species